GGCUGUUUGGUUGCCUCUUAAUGGCUCCAUUAAGAGGUUUGGCCUCUGAAUCGGUCAGACAUGGGGUGUUUGAUUCACCAAAUAACAACCUCUGAAUGAAACCAUUCAGAUCUGAAUGGUUCAGCACAUUUCAACAUCUGAAUGGAACAUUGGACUUGUAUACCCUUGCCCAAGAAAACAAUCUGCCACUCCCCCCUUUCUUCUCCACAGCCGUCCCCUCAACAACCGCCUCCUCCAUAGCCACCUCCGGCCCCCUCCACAACCGCCUCCUCCACAGCCGCCCCCUUUCUUCUCCAGCGGCGAUGUUUGGUGUUUUCCGGCGAAAAGUCGUUAGCGGAAGCUCUUCUGCUUCGGUAAGCCUUGAUCUCACAUCUAGUGUUUUGCUCAAACAAGAAUCAAGAACAUCAAUCAUCAACGAGAUGAAGAUGAAAGUGGAGAAAUAUAAUGGAGUCUGGAGUUGCAGAGCUAUACGAAUUUUGUAUUGAUUGUCGAUUCCAUCACAUAUUGGGGAAAAUUGAAAUGUUUACUGAAUUUAUUUUUUUACCUAAAUUUUAUCUUUACAAGUCAAAAUGAAUGAUUAAUUGAUAAUGAUAAUUAACUGCUACAAUUUUGUAUAAUCAUAUACUGGUUUAGACUCGAUUUAAUGUAGUUAAAUGAUGUUUAA